rnacentral:piRNA from 2 species
ACCUUGGUGCAAUUUUUGGAAAAAC